UGAUUACAAGGAAGGGAUGAUGUUUCAAUUAAGACCCAAGAAAAGGAUUCUGAGCCCCAGAGCUUUGAAGGAGCCGCUUGGUCUCUGACCUUCCUUAAGGCAAA